rnacentral:lncRNA from 1 species
CCUCAGGUGACUCCUAUCUCAUUUUUGGCUUCUCAGGUCGACUUGAUCUCUGGGAUGAAACAAAGCUUGACUCCCAGAAAGCUGAAGAAAGAAGUCUAAAGUUUGUUUGAAGCUCUGGUGAAGACUUCCACAGACAGCUUCUACCUUCUUUCCAGUCCAUGGAAUCUAAGACUUCUAUGAGGAUCAGGCUAUACAAAUAGAAUCUUUACACUGGCAAAUUGCACCUAUUGUUGUUGGGGUGCAUCUGAAGACUGACGCAGAAACAGGCAAGAACACUGAGUGAAAAUAGGCACCCCAGAAAAGAUAAUGGGAACUUGAUCCGUAUUUUGAGAGCUGUUCACAGUGCAAAAUCAGAAAUAAGAACGUUAUUUCUUUUUGCCUUUCAAGAUCCUGGAUCUGGAGGUGGGGCGAUGAAAUGUGGAAAGACUGAUUCCAGUUGUUCCUCCGUGAACUGUGCCGAAUUCCUGCCCGAAUUGUGGUCACUGAAGUCAGGGCCACUGAAAGUUCCCCACACAAUCUGGAGGCUUUGAGAGGAGAGGAAAAAGAAGCUGAGAAGAGUUAACAUUGGUUGUAUGCUGUGGUUUAGUGGUGGCUGAAGAGGCGGUGAGAUGUGACUGUGGAGAUACAUACUGCUAAACUGCCUUGUGCUGGGAAGCCCUGUUGGGCCACAGGAGGACUUGUGGCUCUUGCCGGUAAUGCCUCCAAGGAGAAUUAAGGAGAUGUCUAGAAAAUAGGUUACUACAGAGGUAGGUUGCAGACUUGUAUACCUUGGUAGCUAAGACUAAGGAGCACAAAGGGUCUGAAGCCUUACUGAACUCAUGUUCUCUAUGAAAGAUAGAUUUCUUGAUGACAGGAGCACUGGACUGUGUAUUUGUCACUUAUUUGUUAGGUAGUUUCGGACAAGAGAAAAACAAUUUGACAUGUCCACAUUCUCAUCUGUAGAAUGAACAUCUUAUGUGAUUUCUUUAUGGCACGUGUGAUCUGAUCACCAUUAGUGAGAGACGAGUGUCUUCACUGAGAUGCAUGUCUACUGCUUACUGAUGUAUAGAAGCUUUCAGAUGGUUUGUACUCCUGCACCACAUAACCACUUGGGUACAUAUUUUCUUGCUGUUGCAGAAUUCCUUUAACUUUGGAUAAAAUUGCAGUCUGCCUUCCUGAAUAACAAUGCGGAGUUAGAGACAUAUUCUGUCUGUAAUACCUUGGAUUUGAGGAAAAUGCAUUUAAAAACAAACCCAAAUUCACAUAAAUGUUUUAAAAGUCAGGUCUGAAAUUGGAUCUUAUUCAGUUUAGGUCAAUAGUCUAGAAAGAAAAAUUCAGAAUAGGAGAUGAAUUGUGCUGAAUAUUUAUUUCUUGGGGUUUCUCUAAGGCUUUUAUUAUGGGAGUUGAAUCUAAAGAGUGGCUCUCCUAAAUGCUAUUAACGUAUCCACUUUUUCUGUGUUCCUGUUAGUAGGAAGCAAAUGACCUCAGUAUUAGGAGGCAAGUUUGAAAACUGCACAAGGAAUUACAUGUUAAAAAGAGAGAGAGAGGUGU